AAGCCCGAUAAGCUAUCUUCAGAUAAAUUCAUUUAGUUUAAAAACAUAUUGACUUCUAGUAAAACGCAAAAUAUAGUGUUAAAAAUAUAUUUAAAUAUAACAAGGAUCUCCUAAAUCUGAUCUUCGUAUAAUCUAAAUCAAUUUAGGUUCGGAUAGAUUCGUGUUACCUACACCAGCUGUCCCGACUACAUUCAUCUUAGUAUCCACUUAAGAAUAUACAAUUUAUCUACAAAGCUUGCAAUUAAAUUUCAUCCUAGCAUUCGUAGAUUAUAAACAGAUAUGCCGCCUCGUCAGGACCUGAUCAUCCAACCGAGCCGGUUCCAGGUGGAGCAGACCCGCAUACCCCCUCCCCCACCCCCCGGUCGUCUUCAGAGGCCCCCCCACGAUCACCCCUCCACUUACAUCGCCUCGCAAACAAGACGGAAUACUGCCGCUGCUACACGAACCAACUAGAGGUUUUUACAUCGAAUCUGUCAGUCUGUAUUAAACAUGAAAUUAAAAUGAUGAUAAAACAGCAAGAAUAGUGAACGUAUUGUUAUGGAAAUCUAGAUUUUAUAAUUGCUUCAACUACUUAUAGAUAGAAAUGAAUGAUUGAUACAAUUAGGUUCGUAUUAACGGCUACAGUUGAAUUGAAAUACAUGUAUGUAUAUAGGAACAUCUCUGUCUUUGGAUUUCUGUCUUUUUUAAUCAUAUUUGCGGAUUCCAACCGUAUUAUAUAAAUUAUGAAGUGAUAGGUAUUUGUACAUAAGUCAUUUUAAGUAAGUCUAGAAUAUGUGUAGAUUAAUAUUUAAAUAAAGAUAAAUUAUAAUAAAUAUAAAUUUAAAGUUUCCAUUGGUUUUCAUGUCUUUUAAAAAAAAUAGUAUAACAAUCUAAAACUCAUGAAUUUGAAGUUCUGUUAAUAGCAAAAAAGGAGUAAUUACUAAAGGUAAUUACAAAAAUUUGCAUCAGUUAUGCUGCCAGUGAUGAUUUCAGUAUUAUUGAAACCAGAAUGUUUUGUUUUUAUAAUUAAUUUAAUAUAUAGUUCCAUCUGUUGAGAUUAUAAUAGUAUCUGAGUAAAAAUCUGGGAGGCAAAUUGGUACAAUGAAAUUCUUAAGGAUUUGGAAAAGGGCAACGACUGUUAUCGGUAGGCAUAAUGUAUGAGGGGAAAAUGAGUUCAUAUUGGAGAAGGCUUGGCUUAGCAACCAACUACAUAAUGGCAACAUCUUUUUUGUCUGUGGUGAAUGCAGCAUAUUUUAAAUACAUAAAUUUAUAUCUAAAAUAUUAAUAAAUUAUGUACAUGUAAUCGAUUUCAAAAAUAUACAGAUUUUGUAGCAAAAAUAAUAAUGCCCUAAUUUAAAUAUGUACACAAAGAAAUUCGAGCUGAACUUGUACAAAGGAUACUAUUUUCUAGAAAUUUUAACCGAUAGCUAUUAUGAAAAUAAUUAUAAAGAUAUUAAAUAAUUGUAUUUAAAAUUUUGGUAAAAUAAAUACCUAUUACAGUCAAUUUAAUUAUAUUCAUAUGUGACUAUAGAUAGAUGACACAGGUUAAAUUAAAUAAUAGUCUUAUGUGGAUUUCUGGUACAUGAUAAUCAUAAAAUAAAAAAAUAAUUUAU